AAGGAAUACACCUACAUAUUUUUAAGGAAGUCAAAGGCAAUGAAAUAAUUUAUUGAAUUCUGCUAUCAAACACUACGGAAUUUCAAUUAAAAAUCUUGAACAUCAUUUCUCUCUUCCCUUCACUCUGCGAAAACAUAAAAGAAUUGAAUAUUGCAUUCCAUUCCGACAAACAUAUCGGUCGUGCGCAGUUCCUUUUUUUUUAUUGAAAUCGGCAAAACUUCGCAAAGUGAAAUAGAGUCAUCCAUCAUUUAGUUUAUCAGAGACAACAGCCUAAAACAGUUCGCAAUAAAACUUAGACCGGUCAUCUUGAUAGAGGUUAAUAUUUUUAUUAAAUCAAUUUAUUCCAAUCUUCACAAAUUAUAUCACAUUUAAGAUGCCUUGUGGUGGAUGCGGUUCUGAUUGCAAAUGCACUUCGGAAAAAUGUGAUGAAAGGUGCAAGUGUGACCAAGCUAGCAAGUGCUGUUGCAGCACUAGCACUGAAAAGAAGGAACCAUGUUGCAAAGAAAAGUCGAAGUGAAUUAAUUUUAAUUCAAGACCAAUAAAUUAUAAUGUGAAUUAAUACUUGUAUUAUGACUGACUCAAGCUAUUGAACCUUGCAUUUUGAAUAAAUACAAAUUUAUUGGAUGUAA